UGGAGAAGAAAAUGGUUUUUUUUGUUUUUGUUUUUUUUACAGACCACAUGAAAACUCUACAGUUGAAUAACUGAAAAUGAAAUCCUCUAUCAUUGAUAAGUGGAAAGCAUAGAAGGACUUCAACAAGCUAAAACUUUCUACAGCUUGUUUGUCUGCUCUGACACGUACACCCUGACCUGUGAAAGGCCUGUGUUGAAGCAUUCAUGGACUAUCCACGGCUUCUCAGUUUAGGAUUACCACUGGGGAAAGUCCACGUAACAGCACAAAGAAGUCUUUGCCAGACAGUUGGAGUUCCAUGGCAGAGGGCAUACAGGGGCUCUGAGUGGCUGAUUCCAGAAAGCUUAGCUUUAUACGAUCACCGUUUAGGGAAAGAAGGACCGGAAAUACAUUUGGACCUGCUGAGAGCCGGCAGAAAAAAAUCUUAAGAAGAUAAGGCAUUUUUGUUAACACUGCCACCAAAUCCCAAGACUGCCUGUGGCAUUAUUGACAAGUUACCAUACGGCGUUAUAUUCGCUUCGGGUGUACAAUGUGGCGAGCCGACAAUUCCAUACAUCACUCAGUGCCCGUCAGGAUGAGCGGACUCUUAAUCCCCUUCAUGUGUUUCACCCAUCCCCCCCACCUCCCCUGCCCGCUGCUUUGAAACUUCUAUUUCCUUAAAAUAAAGCAAUUUUAUGUGAUAGGAGAAGCCUUUGAACCGACAUCCAAACUCUAAAUCCAUUGCCACUCUAGAAUGACCGGUUAAUGACUCUAUAAUGACAAUGAAAACACACGGUAUUACAGUCCCGGGCCGGAGGGUCUGGGUGCGUCUGUCACUUGGUGGAGAGGGACUCUGCCAAGAAGCCAACACCAGCCCUGCUCUCUCACCAAGGAGGCUGCUCAAUGUGCAACUCCGGGCUGUCCGCGAUGGCUGCCGCACUGACUGCUCGAGGCCCGCAGCCUGCUGUGGGGA